rnacentral:rRNA from 1 species
GAUGAACGCUAGCGGCAGGCUUAAUACAUGCAAGUCGAGGGACAGCGCAGGUAGCAAUACUGGGUGGUAACCGGCAAACGGGUGCGGAACACGUACACAACCUUCCUUUAAGUGGGGGAUAGCCCAGAGAAAUUUGGAUUAAUACCCCGUAAUAUAGUUGAAUGGCAUCAUUUGAUUAUUAUAGCUACGGCGCUUAAUGAUGGGUGUUCGGCUGAUUAGAUAGUUGGCGGGGUAACGGCCCACCAAGUCCACGAUCAGUAGCUGAUGUGAGGGCAUGAUCAGCCACACGGGCAAUGAGACACGGGCGCGACUACUACGGGAGGCAGCAGUAAGGAAUAUUGGUAAAUGGACGCAAGUCUAAACCAGCCAUGCCGCGUGAAGGAUUAAGGUCCUCUGGAUUGUACACUUCUUUUAUUUGGGACGAAAAAGGGCCUUUCUAGGUCAACUGACGGUACCAGAUGAAUAAGCACCGGUUAACACCGUGCAAGCCGCCGCGGUAACAC